rnacentral:rRNA from 1 species
UACGUAGGGUGCAAGCGUUGUCCGGAAUUAUUGGGCGUAAAGAGCUCGUAGGCGGUUUGUCGCGUCUGCUGUGAAAACGCGAGGCUCAACCUCGCGCCUGCAGUGGGUACGGGCAGACUAGAGUGCGGUAGGGGAGAUUGGAAUUCCUGGUGUAGCGGUGGAAUGCGCAGAUAUCAGGAGGAACACCGAUGGCGAAGGCAGAUCUCUGGGCCGUAACCUGACGCUGAGGAGCGAAAGCAUGGGGAGCGAACAGG